rnacentral:rRNA from 1 species
CUAAGGUAGUAGUAGUUAUGUUCUUGAAACUUAAAAAAUUUGGCGGUAUUUUAGUCUAUUCAGAGGAACUUGUUCUAUAAUCGAUAAUCCACGAUGGACCUUACUUAAGUUUGUAUUCAGUUUAUAUACCGUCGUUAUUAGAAUAUUUUAUAAGAAUGUUAAUUUUCAUAAUUUUUAAAAAUAAAACAUAUCAGAUCAAGGUGUAGCUUAUAUUUAAGUAGAAAUGGGUUACAAUAAAUUUAUUUAAACGAAUAUAAAUGUGAAAUAUUUAUUGAAGGUGGAUUUGAUAGUAAAAUUAUAUAGAUAAAUAAUUUGAUUUUAGCUCUAAAAUAUGUACACAUCGCCCGUCACUCUUAUUAUUAAGGUAAGAUAAGUCGUAACAUAGUAGAUGUACUGGAAAGUGUACCUAGAAUGCAAUUUAAAGCUUAUAUAGUAAAGUAUUUCAUUUACAUUGAAAAGAUUUUUGUGCAAAUCAAUAUAAAUUGAUUAAAUUUUAUUUAUUAAUAUUUUAUUUUUAAAUAUUGAAUUAUUAAAAAUAAUUAUAUAUUGUAAUUUUUUAGUAUUUUAUAAAGAAAAAAUAAUUUUAAUUAUAGUUUAUUAGUAUUGUGAAAGAAAAUUGAAAUAAUUUGAAAAAU